rnacentral:rRNA from 1 species
GUCAGGGAAGAAACGGUGAAAGCUAAUAUCUUUUGCUAAUGACGGUACCUGAAGAAUAAGCACCGGCUAACUACGUGCCAGCAGCCGCGGUAAUACGUAGGGUGCAAGCGUUAAUCGGAAUUACUGGGCGUAAAGCGUGCGCAGGCGGUUUUGUAAGUCUGAUGUGAAAUCCCCGGGCUCAACCUGGGAAUUGCAUUGGAGACUGCAAGGCUAGAAUCUGGCAGAGGGGGGUAGAAUUCCACGUGUAGCAGUGAAAUGCGUAGAUAUGUGGAGGAACACCGAUGGCGAAGGCAGCCCCCUGGGUCAAGAUUGACGCUCAUGCACGAAAGCGUGGGGAGCAAACAGGAUUAGAUACCCUGGUAGUCCACGCCCUAAACGAUGUCUACUAGUUGUCGGGUCUUAAUUGACUUGGUAACGCAGCUAACGCGU